rnacentral:rRNA from 1 species
CCUACGGGUGGCAGCAGUGAGGAAUAUUGGUCAAUGGACGAGAGUCUGAACCAGCCAAGUAGCGUGAAGGAUGACUGCCCUAUGGGUUGUAAACUUCUUUUAUAUGGGAAUAAAAUGUUCCACGUGUGGGAUUUUGUAUGUACCGUAUGCAUAAGGAUCGGCUAACUCCGUGCCAGCAGCCGCGGUAAUACGGAGGGUCCGAGCGUUAUCCGGAUUUAUUGGGUUUAAAGGGAGCGUAGGUGGAUUGUUAAGUAAGUUGUGAAAGUUUGCGGCUCAACCGUAAAAUUGCAGUUGAAACUGGCAGUCUUGAGUACAGUAGAGGUGGGCGGAAUUCGUGGUGUAGCGGUGAAAUGCUUAGAUAUCACGAAGAACUCCGAUUGCGAAGGCAGUUCACUGGACUGCAACUGACACUGAGGCUCGAAAGUGUGGGUAUCAAACAGGAUUAGAUACCCCUGUAGUC